rnacentral:lncRNA from 1 species
GCCUGCCCCAUUUCUUUGCUGCCUGUUAAAAUGCAGCUUUUUCAAAUCAGAAAGAAAAGCACAGAAAAGGAGUGCAUGUCUCCUCAUGGUGAGAUUAGCAAGACCGGAUCCAGUGCCCCACCCUCCCCAGUCUUCCCUGUCGCCCUGCUUCUGCAGCAGCCUGUUGUGGAUGCUGUCAUGCCUGUGCCACCUGUCUGGCCUGCAAGUAACAGCAGCCCAGCAAAGCUCUGCCGGCCACGAGCCCAGCCACAGAGCUCUCUGGUGGAACAAGCACACGGGCCAGUCCACUGGACCACAGAUUCUGGUCCUGCCUACAGCCAGGGACAAACCUGUGACCUCAGGAUGCAGUGGACUCUCUUUGCACUCACAGUGGGAAUUUUCAUCAUCUUCCUGAGAUAAACUUGUCCUUCUGCCUUGAAGAACACACACGCAACCUGUUGGAUCCACAGCGCCCCCCCCCCUUUGGAGAGACAGCUUCUUAUAUGGGAGCAGUUGGUAAGUGGCCAUCCAAAAGGGAAAAAGAAAAUAACCAGGGAACAUGACCACCUUGCCUUGGUCCAAGGAGGCAGAAAGGGCAGAUGCACUGCAGAGACCACGUGAGCCCCUUGGGAUGCAAAAGACCCUUGUACUGACCACCCCAAAUUAUGCACUGGUCUGGGCCUCUCUCAGCACUUCAGCCGGGAAAGACUAAAACUCUUAUGGUCAAAUCUCACACAUUUUGGGACUGUGAGGUGGGCUUUCAGAAACUACCCCAAAUAUCAAACGAAAGAUGGACUGCAGACUGUUGGACUGAAGCUGCUUCGCGGAUGAAGUCUCUGUUUGGUCCAACUUUGUGUCCUCUGCAGCACAUAAAUAAUGUCUGGUGUGUAGAAUCGGCUCUAUAAAUGGAUAAUGCAGGCCCACAUGGCUUUCUCCCUCCGACUGAGUCGCAUGUGAGGGGCCAUUGACUGUGUGCAGUCAAUCCUGGGACCAGACCUCCAGCACAAGAGGAAUAUGUGUGCCUAUGUCACUGUGUUCUUUGUAAGAGACAGGCCAGAUGGGAAGAAAGGGGCUGCCUUUGACCUUUCAGAGCCACUGAACACAGCUGGUCAUCAGAAGCCACACACGCACACACACACGUGCAUACACGCACACAAGGGCCACAGACAGUUCUUUGACAGCUGUAUCUUGAUCGCCAAAGGAGAUAAAUGUUACAAGUAAGUCGCUGGAUUGCAAUUCGUGGAGAACAAGCCAGAGUUUAAACUCACCCAAGUUGGAAGCAGCACACUGGAUUCAAGUUCCAUUUCUUUUUCUUCUUUGAGUUAUCGUUUAGAUUUUGUGGUUAGCAGUGGGUGAUGAGGAAGCUGGGCUCUUCUUGGAGGAUCGUACUGGAAAAGGUGAUUUUCCUGGAUGGAGAAAGCCUGGGUUACUUUCUCCUCCCCUCCUCUUCCCUCUUUCCUCUUCUUUCCUCUUCUCUUCUCUUCUUUUUUUUUCUUUUCUUUCCUAGUACUGGGGAUUGAACCCAUGGCCUUCAUACUGAGUUACAUUCCUAGACCCUUUUGUAUUUUAUUUUUCGGAGAGGGGAUCUUAAUGUGUUGCUAAAUUGCCCAGACUGAGCUUGACCUUGUGAUCCUCCUGCCUCAGCCUUGCAGAAUGCUGGGAUUACAGAUAUGCAGGAAAAACUCUAAAUAAUAGUCUGAAAUUUCGAUGACGUUUCCACAGUAGACAGGCACAGCCUGAUUUAUUAAACCGCCUGUCCCUAUCCUUGGU